rnacentral:rRNA from 1 species
UAAUACAGAGGGUGCAAGCGUUAAUCGGAGUUACUGGGCGUAAAGGGCGCGUAGGUGGUUGUAUAAGUGAGAUGUGAAAGCCCUGGGCUUAACCUAGGAACUGCAUCUUAUACUGUGCAACUGGAGUACUGUAGAGGGUAGUGGAAUUUCCGGUGUAGCGGUGAAAUGCGUAGAGAUCGGAAGGAACACCAGUGGCGAAGGCGGCUACCUGGACAGAUACUGACACUGAGGCGCGAGAGCGUGGGGAGCAAACAGG